CAACACCACCAACUGAACCUACUACUACCACAACCAAAGAGCCAACCAACUACAACCACAAAAUCUACAACCACACCAACUGAACCUACUACUACCACAACAACUGAAGAGCCAACUACAACCACAAAAUCUACAACCCCACCAACUGAACCUACUACUACAACAACAACUGAAGAGCCAACCACAACCACACAAUCUACAACACCACCAACUGAACCUACUACUACCACAACCAAAGAGCCAACUACAACCACACAAUCUACAACCCCACCAACUGAACCUACUACGACCACAACUAAAGAGCCAACCACAACCACACAAUCUACAACCCCACCAACUGAACCUACUACUACAACAACCGAAGAGCCAAC